AAAAUAUCUUAUUGUCAUGUAGAUCUUAGCAACCUCAGUAUAUGAUUUUUUUCUUUUCUUUUUUAAGUUGAGAACUUUCACCUUUUCAUUUAAAAGGAAGCACUUUGUGGCUUCUCUUUGGCAUAUCCGAAUCACCAGCAUCACUACUCCUGCUCUCUGGGGCCACCGUUAAGCAAAGUGAGGACUGCUUGGGCACAGGCACUGUGAUGCUGGGAUAGUUGAUCUGAUCACCAAGACGGCUACUAAGUCACUAGCAGGGUGGGUGGCAUAUACAGCGUGGAUGUGCUGGACCAAGGGAUGACUCACAUCCCCGGCCGGCUGGACCCGGACAGCGAGAGAUUUCAUCACGCUACUCAGAAGGGCACACCAUUUGAGACUUAAAAUUCUUUAUUUCUGGAAUUUUCCAUUUAAUAUUUUUGAACUGCAGUUGACUGCAGGUAACAAACUGUGGAAAGCGAAACCAUAGAUACGAGCGGGCUACUGCGUUCAAAAGGCUCUUCAACUGUUGUGGAUCCUCUGAUGUUCUCGGAGAUGGUUUAGGUGGUUACAUGCCUUCCCGCACUCCUUACAUUUAUACGGGGUUUCGCCCGUGUGGAUUCUCUCGUGCUGAGUGAGGUGAUAGCCACAAUUGAAGGCCUUCCCACAUUCUGUGCACUUGUACGGCUUCUCGCCCGUAUGUAUCCUCUCGUGCUUAACGAGGCUCGAACCCCAGCGAAAGGCCUUCCCACACUCCUUACAUUCGUGAGGCUUCUCACCGGUGUGGAUCUUCUGAUGCUGAGUAAGGUAAUUGACUCGAGUAAAGGCCUUCCCACAUUCUUGACAUUCAUAGGGUUUCUCACCUGUGUGAAUUCUUUUAUGCUGAAUGAGGCUUGAACCACAAAUAAAAGCCUUCCCACAGUCUUUACACUCGUAAGGCUUCUCCCCACUAUGAAUUCUCUUGUGCUGAAUAAGUUUAUACACACGGCUAAAGGUCUUCCCACAGUCUUUGCAUUCGUAGUCUUUCUCCCCAGUGUGGAAUCUCUGGUGCUGAGUGAGCUCAUCACCACGCCGAAAGGCCUUUCCACAGUCUUUACAUUCAUAGGGUUUUUCACCAGUAUGAAUCCUCUUAUGAAUAACGAGGCUUGAGCCCCAUCGAAAAGCCUUCCCACAGUCUUUACAUUCGUAGGGCUUCUCCCCAGUAUGAAUUUUUUGAUGUUGAGUAAGCUGAUUGCCCCAACGGAAGGCCUUCUUACAUUCUUUACAUUCAUAAGGUUUCUCGCCAGUAUGGAUUUUCUGAUGUUGACUAAGUUGAUAGCCACGACUAAAGGCCUUCCCACAGUCCUUACAUUCAAAGGAAUUCUCCUUAUGAUGUCUCUGAUGUGUUCUAGGAGGGGUGCCUUCUCUAGUAGCAGGCCUUUUGACAUAAUUAAUGAGCAUCUGAUUGACAUACCUCCCUCUGGAGCGCUGUGGUCUUUCAAGCGUACCUUCACAUAUCCAGUUACGGCCAAGGGAUUUACUUCUUCUAUCUGAAUUCCUUUUGGAAGCCCUUAUUUCAUGAAUGUUUU
rnacentral:lncRNA from 1 species